rnacentral:rRNA from 1 species
UACGGGGGGGGGCAAGCGUUGUUCGGAAUUACUGGGCGUAAAGGGCUCGUAGGCGGCCAACUAAGUCGGACGUGAAAUCCCUCAGCUUAACCUGGGGAACUGCGUCUGAUACUGGAUGGCUUGGAUUCGGGAGAGGGAUGCGGAAUUCCAGGUGUAGCGGUGAAAUGCGUAGAUAUCUGGAGGAACACCGGUGGCGAAGGCGGCAUCCUGGACCGACACUGACACUGAGGAGCGAAAGCCAGGGGAGCAAACGGG